rnacentral:rRNA from 1 species
AUACGUAGGUGGCAAGCGUUGUCCGGAAUUAUUGGGCGUAAAGCGCGCGCAGGCGGGAUAUUAAGUCUGUUUUAAAAGUUCGGGGCUCAACCCCGUGAUGGAAUGGAAACUAAUAUUCUUGAGUGCAGGAGAGGAAAGUGGAAUUCCCAGUGUAGCGGUGAAAUGCGUAGAUAUUGGGAGGAACACCAGUGGCGAAGGCGACUUUCUGGACUGUGUCUGACGCUGAGGCGCGAAAGCCAGGGGAGUGAACGGGAUUAGAUACCCCGGUAAUCCUGGCCGUAAACGAUGGGUACUAGGUGUAGGAGGUAUCGACCCCUUCUGUGCCGGAGUUAACGCAAUAAGUACCCCGCCUGGGGAGUACGGCCGCAAGGUUGAA